rnacentral:rRNA from 1 species
UGGUGGGGUAACGGCCCACCAAGGCGACGACGGGUAGCUGGUCUGAGAGGACGACCAGCCACACUGGAACUGAGAUACGGUCCAGACUCCUACGGGAGGCAGCAGUGGGGAAUAUUGCACAAUGGGCGAAAGCCUGAUGCAGCGACGCCGCGUGAGGGAUGACGGCCCUCGGGUUGUAAACCUCUUUCGGCAGGGACGAAGCGAAAGUGACGGUACCUGCAGAAGAAGUCCCGGCUAACUACGUGCCAGCAGCCGCGGUAAGACGUAGGGGACGAGCGUUGUCCGGAUUUAUUGGGCGUAAAGCGCGCGUAGGCGGCUAUGCAAGUCGGUUGUGAAAUCCCGGGGCUCAACCCCGGGACUGCGUCCGAUACUGUGUGGCUAGAGGUAGGUAGGGGAGAUCGGAAUUCCUGGUGUAGCGGUGAAAUGCGCAGAUAUCAGGAGGAACACCGGUGGCGAAGGCGGAUCUCUGGGCCUUACCUGACGCUCAGGCGCGAAAGCUAGGGGAGCGAACAGGAUUAGAUACCCUGGUAGUCCUAGCCGUAAACGUUGGGUGCUAGUGUGGGCGGAUAU